AAUGAACCGGCGAGUUACGUUAUGAUGCGAGGUUAAGUUGAAGAGACGGAGCCGUAGGGAAACCGAGUCUGAAUAGGGCGACUUAGUAUCAUGAUGUAGACCCGAAACCUAGUGACCUAUCCAUGAGCAGGGUGAAGGUGUGGUAAGACGCACUGGAGGCCCGAACCAGGACACGUUGAAAAGUGUUUGGAUGACUUGUGGAUAGCGGAGAAAUUCCAAACG
rnacentral:rRNA from 1 species